rnacentral:rRNA from 1 species
AAUCAACGCUGGCGGCGUGCCUCAGACAUGCAAGUCGAACGAUUAAACUUUCCUUCGGGAAAGAUAUAAAGUGGCGCACGGGUGAGUAACACGUAGGUAAUCUACCUUUGAGUGGGGAAUAACGUUCGGAAACGAACGCUAAUACCGCAUAAUGCAGCGGCACCGCAAGGUGACAGUUGUUAAAGGAGCAAUUCGCUUAAAGAGGAGCCUGCGGCAGAUUAGCUAGUUGGUAAGGAAUGGCUUACCAAGGCUACGAUCUGUAACCGACCUGAGAGGGUGGUCGGUCACACUGACACUGAAUAACGGGUCAGACUCCUACGGGAGGCAGCAGUCGGGAAUUUUGGGCAAUGGGCGAAAGCCUGACCCAGCAACGCCGCGUGAAGGAUGAAGUCUUUCGGGA